AGUUUUCUAAAUCUGUGUAGAGAUUUCGUCAGACACCAAUCCAAUAGGGAUGAUCAGACUUCCAAGAUAAAUGAAGUU
rnacentral:pre_miRNA from 1 species